GAGAGAUUCAGGUGCCUUUGAUGGAAUAUGAAAAAAAUAGAAAUCAAAGCAAAAAUGUUGAAUUGCACCUUAGGCACAAAUCUUUUGUCUUAAAGAUACACCAAGAGCAGAUAGAAACAAAACAUUGAAAACUUCUUGGAAUUAUCAUUCUAUUUUUCAGCAGAGAGAUGACUUUGACGUCCUAUUUUCAACCCAACCCCUUUUUUGAAGUGCACAAAGGCACCACUUAAAUUAACUUCUUCUUGUGAGAUUGUCCACUGUGUUGUAUUGUCAGAUGGAAGAUUCUGAGAUAAUGCACUUGUUCUUGAUUAGGAAUUUUCCAGCAAUGAAAUGCAACCUGAUCUCUUUGAAAGAUACCAGGCAGGUGCCAAUGGGGACAUUGAGGUGAGGAAGAGGGCUGCUGCUUCAUAUCCUAUGGGGCAGUUUUCCUGGAGCAUCUGCCCACCCCUGUGGGUUUUGCAGGAUAUGAGCUGGAAAGCACUCAGCCUGUUUUCCUUCAGGCACUCUUCCACAUGUCCAGGCAAAAUUCCUGCUGGAUGCACUGCUGCUGGCCUGGGCACAAGUACAAGGAAUAAGAGAAAGACCUCUAUCCAGCUGAUAUGCAGGCUGCCCAUUUCCAUUUAACAGCAUGGACCUUCUGCCCUCUUCUCUCCUGGUUCUCAGUGGAGAAUCAUAGAAUCAUUUGAGUUGCAAGGGACCCUUAAAAGUCUGCCCUGCAAUGAAUGGGGACACCUACAGCUCAAUCAGGUGCUCAAAGCCUCAUCUAGCCUUACCUUGGGUUUCUCCAAGAAUGGGAGUUGUCCUACUGUCACACCAGCUUGCUUUCACGCUGCCCCUGGCUCUGGUUUAACUAUGGAAUAAUGAUAACAACUCUACCAUCUAACAUCCAAAACAAGAAAGGACCUGGCAAUGCAGGAGGAAACAUCAGUUGGCAUCUCCAAACGACUGUGAAAGAAAUAAUCGAGUCACAGGGCAAUCUGCAUCGUGAGACAUUUUUCAGUAUGAUAUCCUAAGAAACAUGACUAGCUUCAGCCAAAUUAAUUGCAUGUUAUUCAAUUAAAAAUAAGAAGAAACAAAACCUUAUUUAAUUUAUUUCUGUCAUCAACCUAUGUAAUCUCCAGUAUAACGAAUCUGAUGGUCUGCCUUCACAUGAAUAAAGAAUUUUUCCUCAGGCCA
rnacentral:lncRNA from 1 species